GGGAGAGGGACAGGAGGGGGGACUAAGGGGGCUCUCCCUUCUCUCUCCUCUCUCGGAAAAAAGUGAACCCGACCAGACGGAGGGAGAGGAUCUGAGAGAAACGACAGCGUCACCAGACUGUUCACCUUCUGGUCACUGUCUAUCCCCACAGGUCUUUAAAACAUAUUACUGUGUAUGUACUCUUACUGUGUCAGUGUGCUUUAAAGCUUUUCUCUGGAUUAGUUUGGUGGUUAUCCACUCCAGACUUAAAAGACUGAACUAUAGAACCAUAUAAAAAAAGGCACGUUUUUGGGGGGUUGCCCUCGUCAUGCGUUUUGUGAAAGGAACACAGCUCUGUCGCUGUUAAGAUUUGACUGGCACUUGUUAGUCAUAUAAAAUAAUGGGUGUUCAUUUGAGUAGAACCCCACCUUGGAACAUUGCUUUGAAUGGGGAUGUUCCUUCUAGUAUGUAGAUCUACGUAGUCGUUGGAGUGCAUGUGACCGUAUGUGGUGAUGAUGAUGGCAGUUUUAAGAGGCCACUUCUUCCUUUGGUGCUGGUGGGCAGGAAAAGGGGAAACGGUCAUAGGCCCCAUUCAAAUACUUUGAACAUGCAUCCUUCCCGCACCUCUUCCUUGAAUGAAUCACUUAUCUAUCCUGGUCACUUUUGUGUAGCUUUUACCAGUCCUGUCAUGUCUGAUCAGUGACCACUUCAAGGAAGGAACACAGGAAGGAAGCAUUUUAAGAGUAUUGGAACAGGAGCAGAAGUGUUAACCACACCUCUGUGAAUAGACAACAGGACAUGGACCACUCCAGGCUGGAACACACUCUUUCCUUCCAUCUUCCUCUCUCAUACUUUUUACUUUCCUCCCACUUGACAUAACUCAUACAACCUUGCUUUUAUUUGACUACCAAAUGGACUUAUUUGCUCAUGUCAUUAGUUCUAGAUAGACAAAACAGAAUGGCUCAUCUUCUGAAGUCAAGCUUUCUUACUUAAUCGGAUCGAUGGGGAAUGGACGGUGACUCACACUGACACAGAGGUGAUAUGAGGUUGUUUUUCUAUGGUUUGUUGUUGGGUAAGCAAAGGCAUUGUUGCUUGCCAGUCUAUCGCUG
rnacentral:lncRNA from 1 species